UUACCUGGUCUUGACAUCCCGGAGACCUUAGGAAACUAGGGGGUGCUUCCAUCUGGAAGAAUCUGGAGACAGGUGCUGCAUGGCUGUCGUCAGCUCGUGUCGUGAGAUGUUGGGUUAAGUCCCGCAACGAGCGCAACCCUUGCCUUUAGUUGCCAGCAGUUCGGCUGGGCACUCUAAAGGGACUGCCGGUGUUAAACCGGAGGAAGGUGGGGAUGACGUCAAGUCCGUCAUGGCCUUUAUGACCAGGGCUACACACGGUACUACAAUGGCCGAUACAAAGGGGCAGCGACACUGCGAGGUGAAGCCAAUCCCGUAAAAUACGGUCUCAGUCCGGAUUGGAGUCUGCAACUCGACUCCAUGAAGUUGGAAUCGCUAGUAAUCGUGGAUCAGCAUGCCACGGUGAAUACGUUCCCGGGCCUU
rnacentral:rRNA from 1 species